CCUACGGGAGGCAGCAGUGAGGAAUAUUGGUCAAUGGCCGUAAGGCUGAACCAGCCAAGUCGCGUGAAGGAAGAAGGAUCUAUGGUUUGUAAACUUCUUUUAUAGGGGAAUAAAGGUAUCCACGUGUGGAUAUUUGCAUGUACCCUAUGAAUAAGCAUCGGCUAACUCCGUGCCAGCAGCCGCGGUAAUACGGAGGAUGGGAGGUUUAUCCGGAUUUCUUGGGUUUAAAGGGUGCGUAGGUUGUUUUUUAAGUCAGCGGUGAAAGUCUGUGGCUCAACCAUAGAAUUGCCGUUGAAACUGGGGGGCUAGAGUAUGUUAGAGGCAGGCGGAAUGCGUGGUGUAGCGGUGAAAUGCUUAGAUAUCACGCAGAACCCCGAUUGCGAAGGCAGCCUGCCAGGCCAUGACUGACGCUGAGGCACGAAAGCGUGGGGAUCAAACAGGAUUAGAUACCCCAGUAGUC
rnacentral:rRNA from 1 species